CAGUCGCCACGGGAAUACGGAGGGGGCUAGCGUUGUUCGGAAUUACUGGGCGUAAAGCGCACGUAGGCGGCUUUGUAAGUUAGAGGUGAAAGCCUGGGGCUCAACUCCAGAAUUGCCUUUAAGACUGCAUCGCUUGAACGUCGGAGAGGUGAGUGGAAUUCCGAGUGUAGAGGUGAAAUUCGUAGAUAUUCGGAGGAACACCAGUGGCGAAGGCGGCUCACUGGUCCAUUACUGACGCUGAGGUGCGAAAGCGUGGGGAGCAAACAGGAUUAGAUACCCCUGUAGUCCCUGUCUCUUAUAC
rnacentral:rRNA from 1 species